UACGUAGGGGGCGAGCGUUGUCCGGAUUUAUUGGGCGUAAAGAGCUCGUAGGCGGCUCGUUGCGUCGGCUGUGAAAACCCGCAGCUCAACUGUGGGCUUGCAGCCGAUACGGGCGGGCUAGGAUUCGGUAGGGGAGACUGGAAUUCCUGGUGUAGCGGUGAAAUGCGCAGAUAUCGGGAAGAACACCCGUGGCGAAGGCGGCUCUCUGGGACGGUACUGACGCUGAGACGCGAAAGCGUGGGGAGCGAACAGG
rnacentral:rRNA from 1 species